AUGUGGCAAGGGGAUACUCGUUGUAGCUUCCGUUAUGAAGAAACCAUUCAUUGUUGUGUAGCACGUAUUGCAUGGCAAGCUGUGUAUUUAGCCUUUAAUAUCACCCUGCCCCAUACUAUUUCACAUAUUUUUGGGUCCUGGCUAAGGGGGGUUGAUAAAUCUUUAAGAUCUCUUAUUCUAGUUGGGGCAGCAGCGGUGCUUUUGUCUAUCUGGCUAUGCAGAAAUGACGUCAUUUUUUACAAGAAAAAUGUUCAUUCUUGUAUGCAGGUGCUAGUCUCAUGUACCAAUUGGCUGUUGUUAUGGACGUUAUUACACAAGGCCCAACACAAGGUGCUGAUGGAGCUUGAUGCAAAGAAGCUCGAGUGGAUUACCAAGUAG
rnacentral:rRNA from 1 species